ensembl:snRNA U6 U6 spliceosomal RNA
GUGCUUGCUUCAGCAGCACAUAUACUAAAAUUGGAAUGAUACAGAGAAGAUUAGCAUGGCCCCUGCACAAGGAUGGCAUGCAAAUUCAUGAAGCGUUCCAUAUUUAA